GCAUAUCAAUAAGCGGAGGAAAAGAAACCAACAGGGAUUGCCCUAGUAACGGCGAGUGAAGCGGCAACAGCUCAAAUUUGAAAUCUGGCUUCGGCCCGAGUUGUAAUUUGUAGAGGAUGCUUUUGGCGCGGCACCUUCUCAGUCCCCUGGAACGGGGCGCCAUAGAGGGUGAGAGCCCCGUAUAGUUGGAUGCCUAGCCUGUGUAAAGCUCCUUCGACGAGUCGAGUAGUUUGGGAAUGCUGCUCAAAAUGGGAGGUAAAUUUCUUCUAAAGCUAAAUACCGGCCAGAGACCGAUAGCGCACAAGUAGAGUGAUCGAAAGAUGAAAAGCACUUUGAAAAGAGGGUUAAAUAGCACGUGAAAUUGUUGAAAGGGAAGCGCUUGUGACCAGACUUGCGCCGGGCUGAUCAUCCGGUGUUCUCACCGGUGCACUCUGCCCGGCUCAGGCCAGCAUCGGUUCUCGCGGGGGGAUAAAGGCCACGGGAACGUAGCUCCUCCGGGAGUGUUAUAGCCCGGGGCGUAAUACCCUCGCGGGGACCGAGGACCGCGCUCUGCAAGGAUG
rnacentral:rRNA from 1 species